rnacentral:rRNA from 1 species
GACGAACCGUGCGAACGUUGUUCGGAAUCACUGGGCUUAAAGGGCGCGUAGGCGGGCUCACAAGUCAGGGGUGAAAUCCCACGGCUCAACCGUGGAAGUGCCUUUGAUACUGUGGGGCUUGAGGGAGGUAGGGGCGUGCGGAACUUCCGGUGGAGCGGUGAAAUGCGUAGAUAUCGGAAGGAACACCGGUGGCGAAAGCGGCGCGCUGGAUCCCUUCUGACGCUGAGGCGCGAAAGCCAGGGGAGCAAACGGG